CGGGAAAAUGUCUGCCCUUCUGGUCUAGUCGGUGCAAGAGAGGCUUCCUGCCCGGUGUCCAGCACUGAGGGGGUGUCGCAGCUAUGGUCAGCCUCCCUCUGCGGCCCCUGAAGCAAGCAGAGAGCGCCUCAGACCUCGUGUUGGGACCUGAGCGCGCAGCCCGGCUCCCAGGCCCCCAGAGGGCGGGUUCCUGGCUCCGCUCAGAGGCCUUUCAAGCCCCAUUAGCCUCCAGCUCAGAGGCCCCUGGGCCCACCUACACUCUGGCCCCUGAUGGGCUCGGAUGACAACUCAAAACCCACAUCCUGAGGGAAUUCUGAUGAAACCUUUGAAGGCUCCAUGUCUUGGGGAAGACCAGG
rnacentral:lncRNA from 10 species